AGCCUCGUGGACGAAUAGAUAAGUCGCUGUGAUUCUCAGUCACAGAGCAGCGGGUGCAACUCCCGUCGGGGCUUCCA
rnacentral:tRNA from 1 species